rnacentral:lncRNA from 1 species
CCGCCUUAUAUACAAAUUACUUAUAUAAACUAGCUAGAGAUUACCACAUAAGGGAUUUUGAAACAUCGUAGCAACUGGAACUGACCUUCACAAGAGGGGGUCCUGCUAAGAAAAUGGUUCCAUUUCCCUUUACCAUUACACUUUCAUCAGCCAUAGCAGGUAUAUAGGCGCCACCAGCCGUGCAAGAACCAAGCACCAAUGCAAUUUGUGGGAUUCCUUCGGAAGACAUUACAGCCUGAUUAUAGAAUAUUCGACCAAAAUUUUCUCUGUCUGGAAAGACAUCAGCCUGCUUCGGAAGGAAAGCACCUCCACUAUCAACAAGAUAUAUACAGGGCAAUUUGCAUUGAGCAGCAAUCUCCUGUGCCCUGAGAUGUUUCUUGACAGUAACGGGAUAAUAAGUCCCUCCCUUAACAGUUGGGUCAUUGGCCACAAACAUACAAAGCCUACCAUGCACCGGACCUAUCCCAGUAACAACCCCAGCAGAAAACAAUGGUUCUUCAUACAAGUCAUGUCCUGCAAGCUUUAUCACUUAAAACCCGUAAGACUCCAUGGAAUAUGCAUUAUGAAGCAGUAUCAAAAACAAAUCAUUCCCCAUUCCCAAUCCUUACCAUUUAAUUGCAAUUAUUUUUGCUGUUACUUUUUCUUCGAAUAUCAAUCACUCAAAUUCAUAAUAAACAUUCCCAAAUUAUUAAAAAUUAUAAAAUGAUCAACAACCAAUGAAAUACUUGAUGGAGACCAUACUUUGAAAACGAAAACAAAAUCAGUGCCAGAAUAUUGGCCAGAAUCAAGGAUCGAGUUCAGGUAUAUAUUAUAGAAGAAAACUUGUAAGCUGUAAAAGUGAUAAAUAGGAUUUAUCAUUUUUCAUGUUUUCAGUUGAACUGCUGAACAUAAAUCAAUGAAAAAAUCACACCGAUCUCCCUUGAAAUUUGACUUAAUUACACUCAGCCUCGUGUCCAAAAGCUACACAUAGCAUAAUUUCAAUUAUCACCUCUCAUAAAACAUAAGCAUAAUUAUAACAUAAAUUGCAUACUUCAAGUAUAAAUCUUUUUUCUAAAACAACCCACAAGUAAUGAACUUUACAGAAACCCAAUUCAGCAUUGAAGUAAAUGCAAUGAAUCAUUCACCUGUGAGAGCUCAAGAAACGAAGAACCAGGAUCAAUGAUACGAUCAAUUCGUUCUCUGGGUAGAAGCUUGUUCCUGCUCUUAUUCCUCUUCACUGCCUCAACUCCUCCACCAGCAAGAACCUUUUUCACAUGAGAUUUGAGUUCAGAAAUUAAAUGAUUCAUAGUGUUAGAGUUGGCAUGAAACACCUCUGAGUUUCUAUCAAGAGAAUCAGAAAGUACUCCUAAGCAGAAACCCCUUCUUGUGGAACAUGUUUCCAACAAAUUGGAACAAACCCAAUUUGAUUUUCUUCUUCCAAUUAAGCCAAGCAUGUUUUUUUUCUUCUUCUCAAAUUUAGUUCUGUUGUAUAAGAAUAAUGUUAGAUGUAUCCAGUGUAAUAAUGUCAAUAAUGAUGGGUUGGAGACCCUAUCCUAUGAACAUUGAUUAAUGCAUUGGAUAAACUUGCCACGUUUUUUUUUUGUUUUCAUAUGCGAAUACAUAAAUAGAAAUAUGCUUUUUUUUUUAGGUUUUCUUUUCUCAUCUUAUCAAAUUAUUGUCUACCAUCUGUCUGUUUUUUUUAUACAUCUGUUUGGGGGAAAGGUAGUGAAAAUGAUUUCGCGGUUAAGUUUUAAUUGUUUAAAUUUGAUACUGAAUUUCUUGUAUUUUGAUGUUUGGAUCAGGUUCCACAAUAAUAAAGUUGUCUUUUACUUUUAUUUGUAUUUUAAUAGAACAAUUCAGACUUUUCAUGUUAUUCCGAUUUUAAUCAAAUUUAAUAGUUAAAAUUUAUUUGGUUUAAAGUUAUCUAAUCGAGAUGACAAACUAAAGUUAUUUUUAAGUUGGUAAAACAAUGGGGCCACCUGGUCAUAUCCUAUCCUCACAACAUUCAAACAUAGCCAUUAUUGCUAUGUUAAUGUUAUUCUAAGUACAAAUGGUCGUGACCCAUGGAAGCUAGAAACUCGUCUCAAUACAAGCAUAUUAAAGCUUUUUGCUUAUUGUUAUGCGUGUCAGCUAUGUUUGGAUUGGUAGAAACGGAGCAGAUUGGAACGAAGUGGUGUUAGGUAGGGGAUGUAAAUAUCCUAUACCUAUUGGUAUUAUUGGUGGUAUAUUAAGUCAAUCAAAAUAUAUUAUUUAAUUAAAAAAAUUAUUUCUAAAAAAUAUAAAUUAAUAUUUUAUAUUAUUUUGAUAAAUGUUAUUGGUUAAUGGUUAGAGACAUAGUCUUCUUAAGACAAGAGAAUCAUUUUCGCUAGGUAGGUUCCAUUGAUUGGAUGUUCCAUUACAUUUCUAUCUAAUACAUUGUUCAUUCAACUUAUUACAUAUUCCAUUCCUGGUUAUUGCAACAUAAAAUAUCAAAAUUCUAUUCCACUUUAUUCUAUUCAGCCGUGAACUUUUAUUUUUUCCAUAACCAUAAACCUGCAUAAGUGCAAAUUGAUUCAAGUAAAAUUAUAUAAAUAAAUAAAAGGACGGCAUAGUAGACGAGAUUUCCAACUUUACCGAACAAUGUCAUAAUGCUCUAUCAUAGCAUGAAAAAAUGGGUACCAGAAAACUAAAAAGACAAGUGAAUAUGUCCUCACAGUGCCAUACAAUUUCUUGAAUUCAUCAAAUUCACUUCCAUCAACAAUGCGAGCAAUAACUGAUCGGAUAUCAAACUGCUGCUUAAGAUCACUAGGAGCAAUAGAACGAAGUUCAUUUGCAUCAUAUAAUGGCUCUUUAAAGUCAUAAUUUAUAUUUUGCAAUCUAUUUGUGAAGUCAUCUUUCCCAGCCACAUGCAAAUUCUUAAUGAUGUUCCUCCCGAGAGCAAGUCCAUGUAGUUCAUCUGCAAGAAACAAAACAUGCACAAUAUCAUUAAUAGAAAGAAGUUGAUUUUGUUAGUUAUCACAUUUUCUAUAUACUCCAUGUGUGAGAGAGAAAGUAUCCAUAGUAAAUACCUUGAGCAAAAUAGUCUGAAACACCUGAUGUCUUGCAGUGAACAGUAGCACCCCCCAGAUCCUCUGCAGAGAUUUCUUCGCCAGUCGCAGCCUAUAAAAUCAUUUAAUAAAGGUUAACUUUGGUCAUAAAGAUGGAGAAAAUACAUUAACACAAACAGAGACACUAUUGGAAAAAUUUAGAAGAUUCAGACUCCACUAAGUGAGAAUCUCAUGCACUGCGCCGCCUUAUAUACAAAUUACUUAUAUAAACUAGCUAGAGAUUACCACAUAAGGGAUUUUGAAACAUCGUAGCAACUGGAACUGACCUUCACAAGAGGGGGUCCUGCUAAGAAAAUGGUUCCAUUUCCCUUUACCAUUACACUUUCAUCAGCCAUAGCAGGUAUAUAGGCGCCACCAGCCGUGCAAGAACCAAGCACCAAUGCAAUUUGUGGGAUUCCUUCGGAAGACAUUACAGCCUGAUUAUAG